rnacentral:rRNA from 1 species
AUUGAACGCUAGCGGGAUGCUUAACACAUGCAAGUCGAGCGAGUGGCGGACGGGUGAGUAAUGUAUGGGGAUCUGCCCGAUAGAGGGGGAUAACUACUGGAAAGGGUGGCUAAUACCGCAUACUAUUGGAGGAACCCAUAUUGGAUUAGCUAGUUGGUGGGGUAAAGGCUCACCUAGGCGACGAUCUCUAGCUGGUUUGAGAGGACGAACAGCCACACUGGGACUGAGACACGGCCCAGACUCCUACGGGAGGCAGCAGUGGGGAAUUUUGGACAAUGGAGGAAAGUCUGAUCGAGCAACGCCGCGUGAAUGAAGAAGGUUUUCGGGUUGUAAAACACUGUUGUUAGAGAAGCGGUAUCUAACCAAAAAGCCCCGGCUAACUACGUGCCAGCAGCCGCGGUAAUAC